rnacentral:rRNA from 1 species
CAGUCGCCACGGUAAUACGUAGGGUGCAAGCGUUAAUCGGAAUUACUGGGCGUAAAGCGCACGUAGGCGGCUUGGUAAGUUAGAGGUGAAAGCCUGGAGCUCAACUCCAGAAUUGCCUUUAAGACUGCCGAGCUAGCAGGUGAGAGAGGUAAGUGGAAUUCCGAGUGUAGAGGUGAAAUUCGUAGAUAUUCGGAAGAACACCAGUGGCGAAGGCGGCUUACUGGCUCAUACUGGACGCUGAGGUGCGAAAGCGUGGGGAGCAAACAGGAUUAGAUACCCCCGUAGUCCCUGUCUCUUAUAC